CAGUAGCCGCGGUAAAACGUAGGUCCCGAGCGUUGUCCGGAUUUAUUGGGCGUAAAGCGAGCGCAGGCGGUUAGAUAAGUCUGAAGUUAAAGGCUGUGGCUUAACCAUAGUACGCUUUGGAAACUGUUUAACUUGAGUGCAAGAGGGGAGAGUGGAAUUCCAUGUGUAGCGGUGAAAUGCGUAGAUAUAUGGAGGAACACCGGUGGCGAAAGCGGCUCCCUGGCUCGUAACUGACGCUGAGGCUCGAAAGCGUGGGGAGCAAACAGGAUUAGAUACCCGUGUAGUCCCUGUCUCUUAUACA
rnacentral:rRNA from 1 species